GGGGGUUUAGGCCCUCAGUGCCGGAGGUAACCCAAUAAGCACUCCGCCUGGGGAGUACGGCCGCAAGGCUGAAACUCAAAGGAAUUGACGGGGGCCCGCACAAGCGGUGGAGCAUGUGGUUUAAUUCGAAGCUACGCGAAGAACCUUACCAGGUCUUGACAUCCCGUUGACAUCUUUAGAGAUAAAGAGUUCCUUCGGGACAACGGUGACAGGUGGUGCAUGGUUGUCGUCAGCUCGUGUCGUGAGAUGUUGGGUUCAGUCCCGCAACGAGCGCAACCCUUACUUUUAGUUGCCAGCAUUCAGUUGGGCACUCUAGAGGGACAGCCGGUGAAAGCCGGAGGAAGGUGGGGAUGACGUCAAAUCAUCAUGCCCCUUAUGAUCUGGGCUACACACGUUGCUACAAUGGCUAUGACAAAGGGACGCAAGACCGCGAGGUGGAGCAAAUCCCAAAAAAAUAGUCACAGUUCGGAUCGCAGGCUGCAACUCGCCUGCGUUAAGUCGGAAUCGCUAGUAAUCGCAGAUCAGCAUGCUGCGGUGAAUACUUCCCGGGCCUUGUUCACACUGCCCGUCGCACCAUGAAAGUUUGAAACACCCGAAAUCCGUGAAGUAACCGCAAGGAACCAACCGCCGAAGGUGGAACAAAUGAUUA
rnacentral:rRNA from 1 species